GCCGGUGUAGCUCAGUUGGUAGAGCGUUCGCCUUGUAAGCGAAAUGUCGCGGGUUCGACUCCUGUCACCGGCUCCA
rnacentral:tRNA from 4 species